AGCGAACGCUGGUGGCAGGCCUAAACAUGCAAGUCGAACGCCGUAGCAAUACGGAGUGGCAGACGGGUGAGUAAUACGUGGGAACGUACCCUUUGGUUCGGAACAACACAGGGAAACUUGUGCUAAUACCGGAUAAGCCCUUACGGGGAAAGAUUUAUCGCCGAAGGAUCGGCCCGCGUCUGAUUAGCUAGUUGGUGAGGUAACGGCUCACCAAGGCUACGAUCAGUAGCUGGUCUGAGAGGAUGAUCAGCCACACUGGGACUGAGACACGGCCCAGACUCCUACGGGAGGCAGCAGUUAGGAAUCUUGGACAAUGGGCGGCAAGCCUGAUCCAGCCAUGCCGCGUGAGUGAUGAAGGCCUUUAGGGUUGUAAAGCUCUUUCAGCGGGGAAGAUAAAUGACGGUACCCGCAGAAGAAGCACCGGCCAACUAC
rnacentral:rRNA from 1 species